AAAUCAAGCUUCUACACACCUGUCCCACACCUACACAAUCAUUUUUUGCCCCUACACAUCUGUCAAACCAAGCUUCCACACCUGUCAAAUUAAGCCCCUCCACACCUGUCAAACCACUCCCCUCCACACCUGCCAAAUCAAGCUUCUACACACCUGUCCCACUCCUACACAAUCAUUUUUUGCCCCUACAAAUCUGUCAAACCAAGCUUCCACACCUGUCAAAUUAAGCCCCUCCACACCUGUCAAACCACUCCCCUCCACACCUGCCAAAUCAAGCUUCUACACACCUGUCCCACUCCUACAAUUUUUUUUUUCCCCUCCACAUCUGUCAAACCAAGUCACUCCACACCUGUCAAAUUAAGCCCCUCCACACCUGUCAAAGCCUUCCACACCUGCCAGAUCACUCCCUUCCACACCUCCAAAGUCCCCCCAAACCUGCUGUCUCGCUUCUCCACACACCUGACAAACCAUGAUCAGCCAAGUCUCCCUCUCCGCCAUAUUGAAAAACCUCAUAUUUAUUACUUUUUUUGCCUCUUCCCGCUUUCUUUUCACUAUCACAUCUUGACCAAAGUGUUGAUUAGAGUAUAUAGUUUACCUGGACGCCGUGGCAGGUGAAUGAGUGGUGGAAUAGCCUUAAAAAUCACUAAAAUAUGGGGCGGGGUGAAGGACAGGCUGGCCAUUUUGUCCCUCCCUCUCCCAUAACAUUAUUUUAAAACCCCAAUUAUUUCCUUUAUACCUUAUCUACCAUCAAUAUUAUAAAGGUGAGGUGUUGAUUAGAGUA